UACGUAGGGGGCAAGCGUUGUCCGGAAUCAUUGGGCGUAAAGAGCGUGGUAGGCGGCCAGAUAAGUCCGCUGUGAAAGUCUCGAGGCUCAACUUCGAGCUGUCGGUGGAAACUGUCUGGCUAGAAGUCCGGAAGAGGGAGAGUGGAAUUCCCUGGUGUAGCGGUGAAAUGCGCAGAUAUCAGGAAGAACACCCGGUGGCGAAGGCGGCUCUCUGGGACGGUACUGACGCUGGAGACGCGAAAGCGUGGGGAGCGAACAG
rnacentral:rRNA from 1 species